GGGGGUGUAUUUGGUUUCGACAUGAUGCGUUUCACGUUUAGGAGCGAGCCGAGGAGUUGUCUGGCCUCGUUAAAAAGGCAAAUUAAACAUAAGUGCAGAUACAACAGCAUUUAAAAACAGUUUCGCGACUGACUUCGCGUUAGCAGCUUAAUAAUAUUAGGUUGCGCGUCUUUCCCGAUAUGUCAGUGAUCGCUUAAGACGUCAUCUAACUGACUAUUUCUGCUUUCAGGCAACAGAAAGUGGAAGAAAUUUUAGUUGCUUGCUUUAGGAUUUUCUCUGCUUUUGGAGAUGCUUAAGGGACUUUAAACAAAAGAUACGCUCGUAGUGCCUUUUCCUGUUAGUAUUAUGGACAGGGGUUCGACUCCCCUCACCUCCACCA
rnacentral:tmRNA from 1 species